rnacentral:rRNA from 1 species
GACGACCGCUGGCGGCGUGCUUAACACAUGCAAGUCGAACGGAAAGGCCCUGCUUUUGUGGUUUGCUCGAGUGGCGAACGGGUGAGUAACCCGUGAGUAACCUGCCCUUGACUUUGGGAUAACUUCAGGAAACUGGGGCUAAUACCGGAUAGGAGCUCCUGCUGCAUGGUGGGGGUUGGAAAGUUUCGGCGGUUGGGGAUGGACUCGCGGCUUAUCAGCUUGUUGGUGGGGUAGUGGCUUACCAAGGCUUUGACGGGUAGCCGGCCUGAGAGGGUGACCGGCCACAUUGGGACUGAGAUACGGCCCAGACUCCUACGGGAGGCAGCAGUGGGGAAUAUUGCACAAUGGGCGGAAGCCUGAUGCAGCAACGCCGCGUGCGGGAUGACGGCCUUCGGGUUGUAAACCGCUUUCGCCUGUGACGAAGCGUGAGUGACGGUAAUGGGUAAAGAAGCACCGGCUAACUACGUG